UCGGGAAUUUUGGGCAAUGGGCGAAAGCCUGACCCAGCAACGCCGCGUGAAGGAUGAAGUAUUUCGGUAUGUAAACUUCGAAAGAAUAGGAAGAAUAAAUGACGGUACUAUUUAUAAGGUCCGGCUAACUACGUGCCAGCAGCCGCGGUAAUACGUAGGGACCAAGCGUUGUUCGGAUUUACUGGGCGUAAAGAGCGCGUAGGCGGCAAUUCAAGUCAUCUGUGAAAUCUCCGGGCUUAACUCGGAACGGUCAGAUGAUACUGCUUUGCUAGAGUGCAGAAGGGGCAAUCGGAAUUCUUGGUGUAGCGGUGAAAUGCGUAGAUAUCAAGAGGAACACCUGAGGUGAAGACGGGUUGCUGGGCUGACACUGACGCUGAGGCGCGAAAGCCAGGGGAGCAAACGGGAUUAGAUACCCCAGUAGUCCCUGAGCGGGCUGGCAAGGCGCAU
rnacentral:rRNA from 1 species